AUACGUAGGGUGCAAGCGUUAAUCGGAAUUACUGGGCGUAAAGCGUGCGCAGGCGGUUUUGUAAGACAGUGGUGAAAUCCCCGGGCUCAACCUGGGAACUGCCAUUGUGACUGCAAGGCUGGAGUGCGGCAGAGGGGGAUGGAAUUCCGCGUGUAGCAGUGAAAUGUGUAUAUAUGCGGAGGAACACCGAUGGCGAAGGGAAUCACCUGGGCCAUCACUUACGCUCAUGCACAAAAUAGUGGGGAGCAAACAGUAUAAGAUACCCUGGUAGUCCACGCAAUAAACGAUGUCAUCUGGGUUUUGGGGAUUUAUUUUCUCAGUAGCGAAGCUAACGCGUGAAGUUGACCGCCUGGGGAGUACGGCCGCAAGGUUAAAACUCAAAGGAAUUGACGGGG
rnacentral:rRNA from 1 species